UCUCGCGAUUGUUAAACUAUCGUUUGUUCACGUUUCCUGGUGUUGCACUCCGCAUUGUUGGCGGUCGGAAGAACUGUGCGAGUGGUUUCUGCUAAUUAAUGAAUUUUAUCGUUGGUCGAAGAGCUGCAUAGGUGUGUGCGUGUGGUUUUGACAAAUUGAUGAUCGUCUUCGUGUGGAGUGCGUAUGAUUUGUGGGGAAUAACAUCUCGGACACUGUUAGUGAGACGCUGUGUAUUGUUGUGCCUUUCGUCCUAUGAAGUGGUUGGCUUCUACCGGCUAGCAAUAUCAAUUAUAUUAAUCUAAGUUGUUGUGCACCGGUCCCCUUCCCUCUAAGGAAGUGAUUGGUUUUACAGUUUAGCACUGCGCCUGAUUUCCCUCCAUGAGGUGGUUGCCUGCUACAGUUUAGUCCAGUAUAUGGGCUGAGUGGAUGUGACUCUGGAUCCUGAUACAGCUCAUGCAUAUCUCAUCCUGUCUGAUGAUGGAAAACAAGUGAGAGAUGGAGACAUUAAACAGAAACUCCCAGACAACCCUAAGAGAUUUGAUAGAUAUACAAUUGUCC